ACCAGCAACGCCGCGUGCGCGAUGAAGGCCUUCGGGUUGUAAAGCGCUUUUUGAGGGGAAGAGGAAGGACGGUACCCUCAGAAUAAGUCUCGGCUAACUACGUGCCAGCAGCCGCGGUAACACGUAGGAGACGAGCGUUAUCCGGAUUUACUGGGCGUAAAGCGCGUGCAGGCGGUUCGGCAAGUUGGAUGUGAAAGCUCCCGGCUUAACUGGGAGAGGUCGUUCAAUACUACCGGACUUGAGAGUGGUAGAGGGAGGUGGAAUUCCGGGUGUAGUGGUGAAAUGCGUAGAUAUCCGGAGGAACACCAGUGGCGAAAGCGGCCUCCUGGACCACUUCUGACGCUCAGACGCGAAAGCUAGGGUAGCGAACGGGAUUAGAGACCCCGGUAGUCCUAGCCGUAAACGAUGUAGACUUGGCGUUGGUGGGUUCAAAUCCAUCAGUGCCGAAGCUAACGCGAUAAGUCUACCGCCUGGGGACUA
rnacentral:rRNA from 1 species